GGUUUCGGCUAUCACUUACAGAUGGGCCCGCGGUGCAUUAGCUAGUUGGUGAGGUAACGGCUCACCAAGGCAACGAUGCAUAGCCGACCUGAGAGGGUGAUCGGCCACACUGGGACUGAGACACGGCCCAGACUCCUACGGGAGGCAGCAGUAGGGAAUCUUCCGCAAUGGACGAAAGUCUGACGGAGCAACGCCGCGUGAGUGAUGAAGGCUUUCGGGUCGUAAAACUCUGUUGUUAGGGAAGAACAAGUACAAGAGUAACUGCUUGUACCUUGACGGUACCUAACCAGAAAGCCACGGCUAACUACGUGCCAGCAGCCGCGGUAAUACGUAGGUGGCAAGCGUUAUCCGGAAUUAUUGGGCGUAAAGCGCGCGCAGGCGGUUUCUUAAGUCUGAUGUGAAAGCCCACGGCUCAACCCGUGGAGGGUCAUUGGAAACUGGGGGAACUUGAGUGCAGAAGAGAAAAGCGGAAUUCCACG
rnacentral:rRNA from 2 species